CCUAAAUAUGAAUGCUACUUUUCCUAUUUUGGUUGUUAAUUUUCUUUCAUUUUCUUUUAAAAGAAAAUUCAUUUGGAUCAGAAUUAAGUCCUUGUUUGUGAAUGUUGUUGGCUGAAGUAAGAGGAGACCCACCUCUGAUUACCUAAUUCCCCUUCACCCACAACCCAUUUUCCUUCAAAAGCAUACAAAUUGUAACCGAAAUUCCAGUGGCUUGUGUUUCCGAUUCCAGUGGCUUUGCAUUCAACGCAUAGAUAAGGAGAUUCCGUGGAAAGCCGCCAACUAAUCUGGAUGGAUUUUUUUACAUUGAUCUUGAAGUGAUUUUACGGAAGACUGAGAUUUAAUUCUACGAAAGUUGAAGCAAAAGUGAGUUUAUGGGAUUGGCAAGAUUCAAUUGGGAUCCUGUCGGAUGUAAACAUUUCUUCCCUUCAUUCCUCUUGCUUUGCUUUUCUUUUGCGUUUGAAGUUUGGUCCUCAAUAUUUUAUUUUAUUUUAUUUUAUUUUUUGCUGUUUUUUAAGAAAAGAUCUUGAGAGGGUAAUUUAUAUGAAAAUUGGGCCAAGCUGGGUAAUGGACUGUCAUGGGCCGCAACACAAAGGGCUGAGUAAAAAGGCUUUAAAGUUAGUCCAGUCCAAGAGCCCCGAAGCUAGUCCGGCCCGGAGGAGACUUGAAGUUAGUCCGGUCUAAAGACACUUUGAAGUUAGUCCGGUCUCAGAGUUAGCCCGGUCAUGGCGUAUUGUGGUUAGAACGGUCAGAACCUUAUUAUUCGGUAGUUCGGUCUGAUCACACCAUGGUUUGUACAUGAGAGAACCGAGAUAAGGUGUAGCGAAAGGAAGAACCGAACUAAGGAUAGUUCGGCCUACUCAGCGGCUCAGCAUAACCAUGAUUACUUCAGUCAUAUUGGAGUUCGGCCAUGGUAAAAACCAUCUCACUUGGUUUAAGCAGUGAGGAGGGUGUUGAAGGAUAAGCAUUAUCU